GCAUGCUGAAUAUACCGGUUCUCUUUAGAUCACCGAAGUCAAGCAUCAUUGGGCGCGGUCAGUACUUGGGUGGGUGACCACCUGGGAACACCGCGUGCCGUU
rnacentral:rRNA from 1 species